GGUUUUGCUGCGGCUGCGUGUGGCUGCCUCCCGUGCAGGCGCCCAAUUCAGGGCGCAGGCGAACCGCUGAUCCGCUAACAUGGAUACGUCGUGAAGAUUAACUUCAAAUCUGUCAGUGUGGUCGACCUCGACAACGUCUUUGCUUCGGAAAUGAAACAGUUGAUUGACACGCGCCAAUUUUCCUGUCAGACACCUACUGAUGAGACAUGGAAGAAUCGUCACUAUCUUCUCACCGUGUUAUUUGGCGACAUCUAACGCUUCUCCAGAUCCGGAACCAGUCUGGUUCCGUCUUCCAGCGUCUUGAGAAACUCCACCUGGAACUCCACCAUUUCUGGCAGAUUCCCGAAGAGAACAUCCAACUGGAAGAAAAACGAAGAGUGAGGUUUGAUAUCGACUAUUUAUUAUCUAUUUACCGUGGGUGUCGGUCAAAGUUAACACGGUAGUAUUUUGCUGCAACACACAUGUAAAGCGUCUUUCCGUGGGCAUACCGUGUCACUCCAUUGCUGCAGAAAUCCUUCUUUAUGGACUCCAGUUAGCAACCUUUAUUGACCUACUCAUUUCUAGUGGCUUUUCGUACAAGUUUUAGAUAGUAUGAAGCAGAUGGUGCACACAAAUGUCCAAGUAGCACAUGCAGGUGUUAAAAAUUUUUUUUUUUAAAAAAACAUUCCAUCCUCCUCAUCAUUCAGCACUCUUGUCCUCACACAAAGCCAUCCAUCCUGUGAUUAUGUAACCCACUUUUACAAGCUCCAGCAUCAGCACUGCAGAGCCGCACACACACACACACACACACACACACACAGAGUAUGUAUUUGACUUACCUCAUCCUGAGUCAGAAAUGUCUCUUUCUGCAGCGGACUGAGAUAUCUCCCAAUCAGGCAGUUGAGGUCCUGCAAAAAAGUGUUGGGUCAGUGCAUUUACAUCAUGAAUUUUGCCCCUCUGACCUUGUAGACAGCCAAUAAAGCCACCUUUUAUUUGUGGUUUUGUUUAAAGAUAAUAUUCAACUAAAUCCGACCCAUUGGUGUUGUAAAUAUUAUAUAAAAGUAGAAGGGAUUAAAAGACAAUAGCUAUUAUUCCUAUUAUUUGCUUCAUUCUGUUAAGAUUCAGUGUUGCCGACAGGGCUGCGAUCUAUUUGUGGCAGUUGUGUGUCAGACGUAAUGGUCAAAUUUGCAUAAUUGUAUGUGAGAGGAAAGAAAAAGAGGCUAAAUAAUGUGGAAAAACAAAACAAUUAUGUUUAUAACUUCAGAGCUUUCUUCUUUCGCUUCCUUGUCUUUUUUAUGUCAUAAACAAGACAGAGCUA